ACAAAUAACAAACACACUUUCUGGAAGCAGCAGGAACAGCCUGUCUCCCUGGAGAGGAAGGAAAACAAGAAGCUGCUGAGGGCCACAGCCGGGACAGCUGGAGCCACUGGGGCCUGAGCUCACCAGCCCAGGCCUUGUGGGAGGCUCCUCUGCAUGUGCAAAGGCCCUGAGCAUGGCAGCCUGCAGCCUGAGUCUGGGGGCCCAAACCCAGGCAGAGCAGGCGGGGGGCUGGACCACAUGGCCUUGGAGCCUCCCCAGGGCCCGCCGCCCAUGGGCUGCCACGUUCCUGAGGACCUGCGGUCUCCAUACUCACUGACACCGCAGCAAGGACCCUGGCGAGGCUUGGUGUUCACUUUUCUCUGCUGGGAGAAGGGGCACCAUCCAGCCCAGAGCCUAGAGAAGCGGAGAAACAGCCAUCAAGUGGCCCACAUAUGAGGGAGGUUUCAAAGUCCUGUUCUGAAGGAAGCCACCAUCAGGAGCCCAGGACCUGUCUGACUCACCCUCUGUGCUGUUAUUCUGAUGCAACUUCAUCCAAGGUCCUGAGGAUACCCUGAUGCUCCCUUGACUUCAGUGACCCCAAAUGCUCUUUUCUUUAAAAACAUCGCAAAUACAGGAUUUUUGGAUUUGAACCAGUGUCCACAGGUGCUAGACAUGGGUGUCAGGAUGCCACAGCAUCUGGCCCCUUUCUCCAGCGCGAUCACGGCAGGGGAUGGGAGUUCGUGUGGGUGUAGAUGGCCUGCCACGGGGUUGCAAAGAGCUGGACACGACUUAGCAACUGAACAACAACAAAAAGACAGCCUGCCACCUUGCACGCCCAGCUGCCCGGCUGAGGCCAACUCCACUCCAUCUCUUCAGCCCUACUUGUGUGCGGCUUUCUGAUUCCCAUCUUUGCAUCCUGGGAUUUCCCCUAAGGACUGGAGGAAUUACCAUGGGAGCCUUGCAGGCCGGUGAACCAGGAGGGUCUCUGGGACUCCGGCCAGUGCCAGCUUCAAGGCUUGGCCUCGCCAACACAGUUGAUUAGAAGCCCCUCCACAGGCACCACUGUCCUUAACCAGCGGGGCGGGGGGCACCCAGCCAGUCUCCUUUUGGCACUGAAGUUGGAGACAAUGAGAGGUCAAGGACAGGCAGAAAGAGCAGCCCUGUCGCUCCCGUCCAUGUUGACCUCACUUUCCAGAUGCUCCCACAGUGUGGGCAGCGGAGUGAGACCCAGGACAGUGGCCGGUGGACCCCUGGAUGCAUGGUGCCACCCUGUCUCCUGCCCGCAGCCUUCACGCCCGUCGGGGGCCUGGAGGCGGUGGGUCUGGGCUUGGUGCUGCGCUGGUGGGAAGGACCACGAGGAGUCUGAACAAAGGCAACGGAAGCAUCCAUCCAGUGAGUUCUGAGCUGUGUUUCUGCAAAGCUGUGCCUAAAUGGCAUUUUGAUAAGUUAAUUUCCCCUCGGCUUGUUCGAAUUUUGGCAAUACUUUCUCUUUUUCUCAUCACAGUUACGUUUCCCGGCUCAUGGUGCCCCUGAGUGGCAGGUGCACGCACAGUUGCAUGCUGGCUGUCUGUCCUCGCCACGUGGGACACCCAGCGAGGUCAUUGUAAGAGGGCUUUCCUAAAGGAGCGAGGACGUGCCAGGGGUGACCCUAGGGGCUGGGGUCCAGGUUGGGGUUGGCUGUGGCCCUGUGGGCUCCUCCUGGGUCAACCAUGUCCCGGCUGCAUUAAGGCUCAGGGUCAGAAGCGUCCUUCACGUGGGAAGUGACCACAGGCUCUCUGAGACCCCACCCCUGCCCUCCAGGUACCAAUCAGCCUCAAACCCCACCUUUCUCCUGGGUCCACUGUGGCUCCCUGACCCUGUGGACUGUUGUUCUCCAGGUGGCAAUCUGGCCUUUUCAAGUUGAGCUGCUCUGAACCCAGGCCCCACCCACCCUGUCUCUCCCACAUGCACCCCCCACCCCACGCCCCAUUCUCUCUGUCUGGUCCUGGGGGGCAGAGUCCAGACCCCCGGCUGUGCUGACCUCUCUUGGGCAGCAGGGGGUCCCUCCCAGAGGCCUCAGCUUGGGUUAUCACAGGCACCCAAGCCCCCUCCUUGCUGGCUGCAUUUCCUGUCUGCUCUGCCAUGGCUAUCAGCCUGCUUUGGCCCAGAAGAGAGUGUCUCACUUCCAAACAGAGAUGUUCAGGGCCCUUGUGUGGUCAGCAGUGUCUUGCUCUCUCCUGCUCUGGCCCUAGAGUAACUCCCUGGGCGACCCUCACAGGCAGGGAGUGUGGUGGGGGUGGGGGGCUGUUGUGAGAUCUGGGGCCUGCUGGGGACGCAGGGUGAUCCAGCCCACCCAGGACACACACGGAAAUCAGGAAGGUGGCCAGACACAGCUCCAAUCUCAGGGGACCAUGGCCCAGAGGCACCGGGGUUUUUAAAACUGCACUUAAAUGAAACCGGAGCUCCGCCAUGGGCCUGGAUCUUCAGAUGAGCGUGGCCUGGACUUUCCCUGUUUCUUUCUUUCUCCAGAAGUUCUUGGCGAGAGAGCUGAUUGUGUGAAAUUUUUUCCGGGCAAGGGUAAUUUCCAACUAUUCUAUGAUAUUUGCAAACACUGCAAGAGCAAGCAGAUCUGUGCUGUGAUGUUUUCCAAGAAAUAAAGUCUCUCCAAGUGGCCCUAACUGCUUCCUCCAAUGGCGGAGAGAGAACGGGGCCCUCUGCCCACUCGCUCGGCACCAGUCCUGCGGGCAGUGGUGUGAGCAGGGUCUCAGCAGGCGUCUCAGGCCCUGGACUGGGAAUGUGUGCAUUCCUUCUCUGAGUUCUUUGUGGAAAAGCAGAACCCAAAGCUCAGGUACAGCCUCAGCACAGCCCACCUGUACACUCAGGCCAAGGUGGCUUGUGGCCUGGUCCCUGCCUCCUGUCCCCUCCAGCUGUCCCCAGGUGGGCUCUGUGGUGCGUGCUGCUCUUCUGGGCUGAUGCCCCCGCCCCAGGACCGCCACCCCCCAACCCCCUGCCAUCUGCCUCAGCAGGCACUGCUCCCCUGAGAUGACCGGCUUCCAACAGUUCUCCAGAUUUAAGAUGGUAUUUAGUCCCCACUGGUGUACAUGUCCACAGUCAAGCUAAUGCACUUGCCCAGGUGAACUGGAAGCUUGUCCUCUGUAAGGAUGAGAAUGCGGGAAGAACUCAGGUGCCUCCAGCAGGCACCACGUGCCUAUGGUGGGGUCGUUCAUAGGACAGGAAGGACCGCACUGGCCUUCACACGGCAUGGACCAACCUUCAGUGCAUUUUUCCAAGUGAAAGAAGCCGGAGCCCAGAGCCCAUUUCCUGUCGGAGCCCAUUUCUGUGACAUCCUGGGGAAGGCUGCAUGCCAGCUGACCAGGGAUGGAACUCGUGCCUUCUGCAUUGGGAGUGAAGAGUCUUAACCACUGGACCACCAGGCAAGCCCCCAGUGUUCUUUCCUUUUUAAUGUCAAUUCCAGUGACCAUCUAGUGCCCUUCCAUUUUAACCCAAAGACCUCUCUUUAGUGUUUCUUGUAGGGUAGGCUUGCUAGUGAUGGGUUCUGUCAGAUUUUAUUUACUUUUAUUCAUUUUGUUAAAAUUAAAAACUGUGUGUAUCAUCAGUUCAGUUCAGUUCAGUCGAUCAGUCGUGUCCGACUCUUUGUGACCC